ACGGAGGAUGCAAGCGUUAAUCGGAAUUACUGGGCGUAAAGCGCACGUAGGCUGUUGUGUAAGUCAGGGGUGAAAUCCCACGGCUCAACCGUGGAACUGCCUUUGAUACUGCACGACUGGAAUCCGGGAGAGGGUGGCGGAAUUCCAGGUGUAGGAGUGAAAUGCGUAGAUAUCUGGCGGAACACCAGUGGCGAGGGCGGCCAACUGGACCGGUAUUGACGCUGAGGUGCGAAAGCGUGGGGAGCAAACAG
rnacentral:rRNA from 1 species